rnacentral:rRNA from 1 species
GAUGAACGCUGGCGGCGUGCCUAAUACAUGCAAGUCGAGCGAACGGACGAGAAGCUUGCUUCUCUGAUGUUAGCGGCGGACGGGUGAGUAACACGUGGAUAACCUACCUAUAAGACUGGGAUAACUUCGGGAAACCGUAGCUAAUACCGGAUAAUAUUUUGAACCGCAUGGUUCAAAAGUGAAAGACGGUCUUGCUGUCACUUAUAGAUGGAUCCGCGCUGCAUUAGCUAGUUGGUAAGGUAACGGCUUACCAAGGCAACGAUGCAUAGCCGACCUGAGAGGGUGAUCGGCCACACGGGAACUGAGACACGGUCCAGACGCCUACGGGAGGCAGCAGUAGGGAAUCUUCCGCAAUGGGCGAAAGCCUGACGGAGCAACGCCGCGUGAGUGAUGAAGGUCUUCGGAUCGUAAAACUCUGUUAUUAGGGAAGAACAUAUGUGUAAGUAACUGUGCACAUCUUGACGGUACCUAAUCAGAAAGCCACGGCUAACUACGUG